UUUUUUAAGAGUUUGAUCCUGGCUCAGGAUGAACGCUAGCGGCGUGUUUAAGAUAUGCAAGUCGAGCGUCUCUUACAUAAAGCUUGCUUUGUGUAAGGGUAGCGGCGGACGGCUGAGUAACACGUAGGAACCUACCCUAUGGUGGGGUAUAGCCUCGGGAAACCGAGGGUAAUCCCCCAUAUCCAGCUCCUUUUUUGUUUUAUAGGUUUUUCCAGGCUGCCCUGACAGGCAGUUGCGGAAUUAUCUCUAUAGACCAAAAAUGGAGUUGGAAA
rnacentral:ncRNA from 1 species